GGAGCAAACAGGAUUAGAUACCCUGGUAGUCCACGCUGUAAACGAUGAGUACAAGGAGUCGGGGGUGACCCCCUUCGGUGCCGCAGCUAACGCAUUAAGUACUCCGCCUGGGAAGUACGCUCGCAAGCGUGAAACUCAAAGGAAUGGACGGGGACCCGCCCAGCCAAGGUAGCAGGGCUUGGGGUUCGAAGCAACGCGAAG
rnacentral:rRNA from 1 species